rnacentral:rRNA from 1 species
UACGUAGGGUACGAGCGUUGUUCGGAAUUACUGGGCGUAAAGGGCGCGUAGGCGGUUUGCUAAGUUGGAUGUGAAAACUCUGGGCUUAACCCAGAGCCUGCAUCCAAAACUGGCAAACUUGAGUACUGGAGGGGAAAGCGGAAUUCCCGGUGUAGUGGUGAAAUGCGUAGAUAUCGGGAGGAACACCAGUGGCGAAGGCGACUACCUGGCCUGUUCUUGACGCUGAGGCGCGAAAGCUAGGGGAGCAAACGGGG